UCAACACGGGAAAUCUCACCAGGCCCGGACACCGGAAGGAUUGACAGAUUAACAGCUCUUUCUUGAUUCGGUGGGUGGUGGUGCAUGGCCGUUCUUAGUUGGUGGAGCGAUUUGUCUGGUUAAUUCCGGUAACGAACGAGACUCUAGCCUGCUAAAUAGGCGUCGUUAUUUAGGUGUGCGCGGCCUCGUGUCGCGCAACUCACUGACGACGUAUUAAAAUUCUUCUUAGAGGGACCGGCGUCUUCGAGCCGCACGAGAUUGAGCAAUAACAGGUCUGUGAUGCCCUUAGAUGUCCUGGGCCGCACGCGCGCUACACUGAAGGAAUCAGCAUGUUCUCCCUGGCCUAGAGGCCCGGGCAACCCGCUGAAACUCCUUCGUGCUGGGGAUUGGGGUUUGCAAUUAUCCCCCAUAAACGAGGAAUUCCUAGUAAGCGCGAGUCAUAAGCUCGCGUUGAUUACGUCCCUGCCCUUUGUACACACCGCCCGUCGCUACUACCGAUUGAAUGAUUUAGUGAGGU
rnacentral:rRNA from 1 species